rnacentral:rRNA from 1 species
UUUGAAAUCCCCCCGGGGCGUUGUAAUUUGAAGAUUGCGUCUUGGAGGCGACCGUGUCUAUGUUCCUUGGAACAGGACGUCACAGAGGGUGAGAAUCCCGUGCGGCACGGCCCCCGGCUCCUUAUAAGGCGCUCUCGACGAGUCGAGUUGUUUGGGAAUGCAGCUCAAAGUGGGUGGUAAAUUCCAUCUAAAGCUAAAUACAGGCGAGAGACCGAUAGCGAACAAGUACAGUGAUGGAAAGAUGAAAAGCACUUUGAAAAGAGAGUGAAACAGCACGUGAAAUUGUUGAAAGGGAAGGGCAUGCCGUCAGAUUGUCAGUGUGGGUAAGAAGCGGGGUACAAAGACUGUGGAACGUGGCCCUCGGGUGUUAUAGCCGCAGUUCAUGCCCCGUCUCUUUCCGAGGCCUGCUUUGAGGACACCGACGUAAUGACGGUACGCCGCCCGUCUUGAAACACGGAACC